CCCUUAGAUGUUCUGGGCCGCACGCGCGCUACACUGACUGGUGCAACAAGUGUCGCUCCUUGGCCGAUAGGCCUGGGCAAUCUUUGAACGCCAGUCGUGAUGGGGAUAGAUUCUUGCAAUUUUUGAUCUUCAACGAGGAAUUCCUAGUAAACGCAAGUCAUCAACUUGCAUUGAUUACGUCCCUGCCCUUUGUACACACCGCCCGUCGCACCUACCGAUUGAAUGGUCCGGUGAAGCCUCCGGAUUGGCGCGCACCUCGGUGCCGCCGAGAAGUUGGCUAAACCUUACCAUUUAGAGGAAGGUGAANUCGUAACA
rnacentral:rRNA from 1 species